AAUGGGGGCAACCCUGAUCCAGCCAUGCCGCGUGAGUGAAGAAGGCCUUCGGGUUGUAAAGCUCUUUCGGCCGGGAAGAAAUCGUGUGGGCUAAUACCCUGCAUGGAUGACGGUACCGGAAUAAGAAGCACCGGCUAACUACGUGCCAGCAGCCGCGGUAAUACGUAGGGUGCGAGCGUUAAUCGGAAUUACUGGGCGUAAAGCGUGCGCAGGCGGUUUUUUAAGACAGGCGUGAAAUCCCCGGGCUUAACCUGGGAACUGCGCUUGUGACUGGAAGGCUAGAGUACGGCAGAGGGGGGUGGAAUUCCACGUGUAGCAGUGAAAUGCGUAGAGAUGUGGAGGAACACCGAUGGCGAAGGCAGCCCCCUGGGCCGAUACUGACGCUCAUGCACGAAAGCGUGGGGAGCAAA
rnacentral:rRNA from 1 species